rnacentral:lncRNA from 1 species
UAUCUCACAUAUAAAACUCUUUUUCCUACUUUUCAUCUUUGGAAGAGUCUAAAUCAAGAAGAAGGAGGCAUCUGAUCGACCAUCGAAGAAGGAUCAGCACAGUACUAGCAUAUUGUACUGAUUUUCUGGACCAAAACUUUUGAUCGUAAUUCGUGAGCCCGUGUGGAUAACUCCUAGAGGUCGGACGUGUGUGUGGCUCACAACAUCAUCCUCA